rnacentral:rRNA from 1 species
GACGAACGCUGGCGGCGUGCCUAAUACAUGCAAGUAGAACGCUGAAGGAGGAGCUUGCUUCUCUGGAUGAGUUGCGAACGGGUGAGUAACGCGUAGGUAACCUGCCUGGUAGCGGGGGAUAACUAUUGGAAACGAUAGCUAAUACCGCAUAAGAGUAGAUGUUGCAUGACAUUUGCUUAAAAGGUGCAAUUGCAUCACUACCAGAUGGACCUGCGUUGUAUUAGCUAGUUGGUGGGGUAACGGCUCACCAAGGCGACGAUACAUAGCCGACCUGAGAGGGUGAUCGGCCACACUGGGACUGAGACACGGCCCAGACUCCUACGGGAGGCAGCAGUAGGGAAUCUUCGGCAAUGGACGGAAGUCUGACCGAGCAACGCCGCGUGAGUGAAGAAGGUUUUCGGAUCGUAAAGCUCUGUUGUAAGAGAAGAACGAGUGUGAGAGUGGAAAGUUCACACUGUGACGGUAUCUUACCAGAAAGGGACGGCUAACUACGUGCCAGCAGCCGCGGUAAUACGUAGGUGGCAAGCGUUAUCCGGAUUUAUUGGGCGUAAAGAGAGUGCAGGCGGUUUUCUAAGUCUGAUGUGAAAGCCUUCGGCUUAACCGGAGAAGUGCAUCGGAGACUGGAUAACUUGAGUGCAGAAGAGGGUAGUGGAACUCCAUGUGUAGCGGUGGAAUGCGUAGAUAUAUGGAAGAACACCAGUGGCGAAGGCGGCUACCUGGUCUGCAACUGACGCUGGACUCGAAGCAUGGGUAGCGAACAGG